CCUACGGGUGGCAGCAGUGAGGAAUAUUGGACAAUGGACGAGAGCCUGAACCAGCCAAGUAGCGUGAAGGAUGACGGCCCUAUGGGUUGUAAACUUCUUUUAUAUGGGAAUAAAAUGUGCCACGUGUGGGAUUUUGUAUGUACCAUAUGAAUACGGAUCGGCUAACUCCGUGCCAGCAGCCGCGGUAAUACGGAGGAUGCGAGUGUUAUCCGGAUUUAUUGGGUUUAAAGGGAGCGUAGGUGGAUUGUUAAGUCAGUUGUGAAAGUUUGCGGCUCAACCGUAAAAUUGCAGUUGAAACUGGCAGUCUUGAGUACAGUAGAGGUGAGCGGAAUUCGUGGUGUAGCGGUGAAAUGCUUAGAUAUCACGAAGAACUCCGAUUGCGAAGGCAGUUCACUGGACUGCAACUGACACUGAGGCUCGAAAGUGUGGGUAUCAAACAGGAUUAGAUACCCCUGUAGUC
rnacentral:rRNA from 1 species